UCUACGGGCGGCAGCAGUGAGGAAUAUUGGUCAAUGGCCGGAAGGCUGAACCAGCCAAGCCGCGUGAGGGAGGAAGGCGCAGAGCGUCGCAGACCUCUUUUGUCGGGGGACAAAAGGCCGGUCUCGUCCGGUCCUGAGGGUACCCGGAGAAAAAGCAUCGGCUAACUCCGUGCCAGCAGCCGCGGUAAUACGGAGGGGGCGAGCGUUAUCCGGAUUCACUGGGUGUAAAGGGAGCGUAGACGGCCAUGCAAGCCAGGGGUGAAAGCCCGGGGCCCAACCCCGGGACUGCCCUUGGAACUGCAUGGCUGGAGUGCGGGAGGGGCAGGCGGAAUUCCUGGUGUAGCGGUGAAAUGCGUAGAUAUCAGGAGGAACACCGGCGGCGAAGGCGGCCUGCUGGACUGCGACUGACGUUGAGGCUCGAAAGCGUGGGGAGCGAACAGGAUUAGAUACCCUAGUAGUC
rnacentral:rRNA from 1 species